UACGGGGGGGGCAAGCGUUGUUCGGAAUUACUGGGCGUAAAGGGCUUGUAGGUGGCCAACUAAGUCAGACGUGAAAUCCCUCGGCUUAACCGGGGAACUGCGUCUGAUACUGGAUGGCUGGAGUGUGGGAGAGGGAUGCGGAAUUCCAGGUGUAGCGGUGAAAUGCGUAGAUAUCUGGAGGAACACCGGUGGCGAAGGCGGCAUCCUGGACCAUUACUGACACUGAAAAGCGAAAGCGUGGGGAGCAAACAGG
rnacentral:rRNA from 1 species